rnacentral:tRNA from 1 species
GGUAGCACAUUAGGUUUUCGUCCUAGGGGCAUACAGUUUGUGUAUCGGGAA